rnacentral:ncRNA from 1 species
UAAUCUUCUAAGGGGUGCCCUAACCUAACGGGCUGAGAUUAUACCCAUUGAACCUGCGCGGGUAAUGCCGCGAAGGGAAAUGAUUUCACAGAUUG